rnacentral:rRNA from 1 species
CGCUGACGGGGCGCAGCCUGUCAGCAAUGCCGCGUGCAGGAUGAAGGCCUUCGGGUUGUAGACUGCUUUUGUACGGAACGAAACGGCGAACUCUAAUACAGUUUGCUAAUGACGGUACCGUAAGAAUAAGCACCGGCGAGGGUGCGUGCGAGCAGCCGCGGUAAUACGUAGGGUGCAAGCGUUAAUCGGAAUUACUGGGCGUAAAGCGUGCGCAGGCGGUUAUGUAAGACAGAUGUGAAAUCCCCGGGCUUAACCUGGGAACUGCAUUUGUGACUGCAUAGCUAGAGUACGGUAGAGGGGGAUGGAAUUCCGCGUGUAGCAGUGGGGGUGCGUAGAUAUGCGGAGGAACACCGAUGGCGAAGGCAAUCCCCUGGACCUGUACUGACGCUCAUGCACGAAAG